rnacentral:rRNA from 1 species
GCGACCCCAGGUCAGGUGGG